rnacentral:misc_RNA from 1 species
UCUCCGUUGGUGAACCAGCGGAGGGAUCAUUACCGAGUUCCAGCAACUCCCAACCCUUGCGAACCGUACCCCAGUCUGUUCUCGUUGCUUCCGGCAGGCGGGGGGGGCCACCUGGCCCCUCCCCCUGCCGGGGGCGGCGGGCCCUCUGAACCUUUAUAGCUCAACCACUGAAACCCGUCUGAGCAAAACAAAAAAUAAUCAAAACUUUCAACAACGGAUCUCUUGGCUCUG